rnacentral:rRNA from 1 species
CCCUACUGCUAUCGGGAUGGGACUAAGACAUGCUAGUCGUGCGCCUCCAAGCCAUGGUGGAGGCGCGGCGCACAGCUCAGUAACACGUGGUUAACCUGCCCUUGGGACGGAAACACCCCCGGGAAACUGGGGCUAAUUUCCGAUAGGUGAAGGCUCCUGGAAUGGAUCUUCGCCUAAAGGGCGCUUAGGCCAUGCUUCUAGGCGCUGCCCAAGGAUGGGGCCGCGGCCGAUCAGGUUGUUGGUGAGGUAAUGGCUCACCAAGCCUUUAACCGGUUCGGGCCGUGGGAGCGGGAGCCCGGAGAUGGGCACUGAGACAAGGGCCCAGGCCCUACGGGGCGCAGCAGUCGCGAAAACUCCGCAAUACGCGAAGGCGUGACGGGGCUAUCCCGAGUGCCGUCCGCUGAGGAUGGCUUUUCCCCAGUGUAGAUAGCUGGGGGAAUAAGGAGAGGGCAAGUCUGGUGUCAGCCGCCGCGGUAAUACCAGCUCUCCGAGUGGUGGGGACGUUUAUUGGGCCUGAAGCAUCCGUAGCCAGCUGAGCAAGUCCCCAGUUAAAUCCAGCGAUUUAAUCGUUGGACUGCUGGGGAUACUGUCCGGCUAGGGGGUGGGAGAGGCCGACGGUAUUCCCGGGGUAGGGGUGAAAUCCUAUAAUCCCGGGAGGACCACCAGUGGCGAAGGCUGUUGGCUAGAACAUGCCCGACGGUGAGGGAUGAAAGCUGGGGGAGCGAACCGGAUUAGAUACCCGGGUAGUCCCAGCUGUAAACGAUACAGGCUAGGUGUUAGGGCGGCCACGUGCCGCUCUAGUGCCGCAGGGAAGCUGUUAAGCCUGCCGCCUGGGGAGUACGGCCGCAAGGCUGAAACUUAAAGGAAUUGGCGGGGGAGCACCACAAGGGGUGAAGCUUGCGGUUU